rnacentral:rRNA from 1 species
UACGUAGGGUGCGAGCGUUGUCCGGAAUUAUUGGGCGUAAAGAGCUCGUAGGCGGUCUGUCGCGUCGGCUGUGAAAACCCGGAGCUCAACUCCGGGCCUGCAGUCGAUACGGGCAGGCUGGAGUUCGGCAGGGGAGACUGGAAUUCCUGGUGUAGCGGUGAAAUGCGCAGAUAUCAGGAGGAACACCGGUGGCGAAGGCGGGUCUCUGGGCCGAUACUGACGCUGAGGAGCGAAAGCGUGGGGAGCGAACAGG